AUCACCCCUGUGACAUACCUAUAGUGGUGCCUCCGGAGGAACACACUGCCCGUUAAAAGGGGCCGCCCCCCCCAGAAGACCCCCUAACUCUUUUUCUAUGUAGUUUCUGCUGAAUAAACUAACUAAUUAAUAAAAACUUUCAACAACGGAUCUGUUGGUUGUGGCAUCGAUGAACAACGCAGCAUGCUGUAAUUAAUGAGGAGUAUUGAAUAAUUUGAUGAAUCGAAAUCUCAUCUAUGAACGCACGUGGCGCCCGCCAUUAUUGUGGGCGGCAUGGCUGUACCAGCGUUAUUACCACCCUCAAGCCCCCGGGGCUGGGCACUGGGGAUCGGCGGAAGCCCCCUGCGGGCACAACGGCCACCCCCAAAUACCGUGGCGGUCCCGCAACACCUUCCAUUGUGUAAAACCUAACACCUCCCACCUGGAAAGCGGCCCGCCCACGGCUGACAACACCCAACUUCUGAAUGUUGACCUGAAAUCAGGUAGGAAUUCGGCUGAGGAAAAAGCAUAUCAAUAGCCGGAGGAAAUUA
rnacentral:rRNA from 1 species